rnacentral:rRNA from 1 species
GCUUUUGCGGCAUGGGAUGGGGUCGCGUCCUAUCAGCUUGUUGGCGGGGUGAUGGCCCACCAAGGCUUCGACGGGUAGCCGGCCUGAGAGGGCGACCGGCCACAUUGGGACUGAGAUACGGCCCAGACUCCUACGGGAGGCAGCAGUGGGGAAUAUUGCACAAUGGGCGCAAGCCUGAUGCAGCGACGCCGCGUGAGGA